rnacentral:rRNA from 1 species
GUAACGGCGAGUGAAGCGGGAAGAGCUCAUGUUGUGAAUCUGGCCCUCGGGCCCGAACUGUACUUUGGAGAGGCGAGGCCAGCCGCUGUCCGCGGCGAAGUCUGAUUGGAAAUGAGCAUCAAGGAGGGUGACAAUCCCGUCCAUGCCGCGGUAUCAACCAGCGCGCGUCCGGCCCGCUUUCGACGAGUCGAGUUGCUUGGGAUUGCAGCUCAAAGAGGGUGGUAAACUCCAUCCAAAGCUAAACACGGGGGGGAGACCGAUAGCGAACAAGUACCGUGAGGGAAAGAUGCAAAGAACUUUGAAAAGAGAGUUAAAGAGUGCCUGAAAUUGCUGGAAGGGAAGCGAAGGAAAGAGGUGUGCGGUUGCCCGGGCGCCAACCCCUACCUGUUCGCAGGUGGGGGUAGGCCGCCCGGCCGCGGUCAGGGGCUGCGCUGGGCUUGGGGGAAGAGCCAUCGGGGAUCGGUAGGCGCGCCGCUUCGGCGGCGCGUUGUCAGGCCCUGGUGGAUAAUUGUUUUGCCCCGAGCUCGGCCCCCGUCUGGCGGUCGCGGCUUUUCUUCACCCCGUCUUGAAACACGGACCAAGGAGUCUAGCGUGGACGCGAGUAGAGGGGUGUGGAAACCCCCUUGCGCAAUGAAGGUGAACGCCGGUGGGAGGCCGUAGCGGCCAGCACCAUCGACCGAGCGUGCUCCUCCGGGGGCAAGGCUUGAGUGUGAGCGUGCAUGCUGGGACCCGAAAGAUGGUGAACUAUGCCUGAAUAGGGCGAAGCCAGGGGAAACUCUGGUGGAGGCUCGUAGCGAUUCUGACGUGCAAAUCGAUCGUGAGAUUUGGGUAUAGGGGCGAAAGACUAAUCGAACCAUCUAGUAGCUGGUUCCCUCCGAAAUUUCCCUCAGGAUAGCAGCGGCCGAGUGUUUGGACAGUUUUAUCAGGUAAAGCGAAUGAUUAGAGGCUGCGGGGGAGUAACUCCCUCGCCCUAUUCUCAAACUUUAAAUGGGUAAGGAGCCGGGGUCGCUUGGAUGGACCCUCGGCGUGUCUCUGGAAUGGCUGGUCGUUAGUGGGCCAGUCCGGGUAAGCUGGACUGGCGAUGCGGGAUGAACCGAACGCCUAGAUGAAGCGCCUCACUGCCCGCUCA